CCAGCCAGCCUUGAAGCCUGUUCCUGAUCUCGAUCUGUGUCGCAUUAUGAAAAUCAUCCUGAGCCCCGAGACCUGAUAGGGUGACAGUGAAGGAACCUACCUUGCACAGCACUGAUGAAAUAGCGGUGUCUGAGGAAGUGAAAUCGCCCAAACCUUUCCACCGCAUCACGAAUCUUGGCUGUGCUCUAACAGCUACUUUCCUGGCAUUGUAACUGAGGACGUGCACGCUCUCCCAGGCAAGGCUGGGACACAGCACACUCUGUGAUGUCAUCCCGAUCAUGGGUCACGGAUCAUUGUAUCUCAUAAGAGAUGCGUCUGCUGCUAGCAUGACAGCGGCUUCUGGUUUAGCAAAUUACCUGGAUACACGCCCCUUCCCAGAGGGAAUCCACACCCUUGUAGGGGUUCUGGUGCAAUGCUCUCAGGACCCCUCUCCAGAGGGUGAGCCACUUCAACGGGGUCCUAACAAGCCUCAACAGACAAAUAAAAUAGAGGCAGAACUAUAACCUUGAUCAGAAAUGGAAAAGAGGAAAAUGCCAUUUUGCCACCUUAAAGUCUGUGUGUUUCUCUCUCAACAGCACCAGUGAGAUGUUGCUGAAAGGAAGUUGUAUGUGUUUUACUUAGAAAUAGGGAGUAUGAGGUGUGCCUGGGUGGCUUGUGCUCA